AAAAGUAAACUUGUGUAAAAAUUUGUUUAAAUGAAUAUUGUGAAAGAUAGGUUUUUGGUGUUUGAAAAGAAGACUAGUAAAAAAAAUAUAAAUUUUGAGUUUUUGUCUUUAUUGUAUCAUAGUUUGUAAAGAGUUUUAUAUAUGUUUGUUCCUGAAAACUUUAGAGUUACUAUAUUAAUAGAUUUUUGUUUCAUAAAAAACGGAGAUGGUAUAGUUGAAAUGAAAUGUUUUUCGAAAAGGUUGAUAGCUGGUUUAAGAGGAAAUAUAUUUUAGUAUAGGGAUAAAUAAAAUAAAUUAAUGAUUGAAAAAUGUUAAAAGUUAUUUUUGUUUAUUACUCAGAUUUUUAAGGAUAAUCUUAAAAAUAAAAAGAUGCUUUUUAUAAAAAAGUAGGAUUAUAAUUGUCUAUCUUUAAAAAUUUAUUAAUAAAGUAAUUGUUAUAAUUUUAUAAUUAAGUACUCUUGUAUUAACAAAAAUUUUUUGUUAAGAAAUUAGUAUAAAAUAAGUAGUUUUUGUUUUAAGUUAGUUUAAUGUGUUUAAAAUUUUAUUAUGUUAAAAUAUUAUAUUUUAAGAUGUUUUGUAGAGGAAUUCGGCAAAUAUUUUCUGCGCCUGUUUAGCAAAAACAUGGCUCUUUGAUGAAAAGAACAAAGAGUUUGGCCUGCCCUGUGAUUUAGAUUUAACGGCUGCAAUGAGAGUUGUACUAAGGUAGCGUGAUAAGUUGUCUUUUAAUUGGAGAAUGGAAUGAAUGGUUUGAAUGUGGAAUAGCUGUCUUUAUAAAAUAUUAUGAAUUUUCCUUUUAAGUGAAAAGGCUUAGUUGUUUGUAAAAGACGAGAAGACCCUGUCGAGUUUGAUUAAGAUUAUUAAGAGUUUAUGAUUUGAAAUUUUGUUGGGGCAAUAAAAAUCAAGAUAACGGUUUAUUUAUGUUUAGAUCCUUUUGAAAGAAUAAAGCAAAAACUACCGCAGGGAUAACAGCGUUAUCCUUUUUAAGAGAUCUAAUUGAGAAAAGGGUUUGCGACCUCGAUGUUGGAUUAAAAAAACUGUGUGGUGUAGCAGCUACAAGUAGUGAGACUGUUCGUCUUUUAAUUUUUUACAUGAUCUGAGUUAAAACCGGUGUGAACUAGGUUGGUUUCUAUCUUUAUAUUAAGUUUUCAUUGUACGAAAGGAUCCGAAAAUAAAGUGUUACUUUUUUGUUAAUUAAAUUAAUU
rnacentral:rRNA from 1 species